CCCCAGCGCCACAAGUGGUUAUCACGAUUAUUGGGCCUAAAGCGUUCGUAGCCGGUUUGGUAAAUCUCUUGUGAAAUUGUUCGGCUUAACCGGACAGCGUGCAGGAGACACUGCCAGACUCGAGACCGGGAGGCGCAUGAAGUAUUCCAUGGGGACUGGUAAAAUGGGAUAAUCCAUGGAAGACUACCGAUGGCGAAGGCAUCAUACGAGAACGGAUCUGACGGUGAGGAACGAAAGCCAGGGGAGCGAACCGG
rnacentral:rRNA from 1 species